rnacentral:rRNA from 1 species
CCUACGGGAGGCAGCAGUAAGGAAUAUUGGUCAAUGGACGAAAGUCUGAACCAGCCAUGCCGCGUGAAGGAUUAAGGCCCUCUGGGUUGUAAACUUCUUUUAUCUGGGACGAAAAAAGGGUAUUCUUACUCACUUGACGGUACCAGAGGAAUAAGCACCGGCUAACUCCGUGCCAGCAGCCGCGGUAAUACGGAGGGUGCAAGCGUUAUCCGGAUUUACUGGGUUUAAAGGGUGCGUAGGUGGGCUUGUAAGUCAGUGGUGAAAUCUCCGGGCUUAACCCGGAAACUGCCAUUGAUACUAUAGGCCUUGAAUUAUCUGGAGGUAAGCGGAAUAUGUCAUGUAGCGGUGAAAUGCUUAGAUAUGACAUAGAACACCAAUUGCGAAGGCAGCUUACUACGGAUAUAUUGACACUGAGGCACGAAAGCGUGGGGAUCAAACAGGAUUAGAUACCCUGUAGUCCACGCCCUAAACGAUGGAUACUCGACAUCAGCGAUACACUGUUGGUGUCUGAGCGAAAGCAUUAAGUAUCCACCUGGGAAGUACGAUCGCAAGAUUGAAACUCAAAUGAGUAGAGCGNGAGAGNGCGACGACGACGACGAGGGAGGAGG